rnacentral:lncRNA from 1 species
CAUGAUGCAGGAUGUGGCGGAAGAACAAGAAGUUGAGACGGAGAAUUCAGAAACAGUGGAAGCAUCAGUUCACAGCAGUAAUGCACACUGUACGGAUAAGACCAUUGAAGCUGCUGAAGCCCUGCUUCAUAUGGAGUCUCCUACCUGCUUGAGGGAUUCAAGAAGUCCCGGUCUUUGCCUGCCUACAUGUCUGUGCGCCGUGUGCAUGCCUGAUAUCCAUGGGUGCCAGAAAAGGAUCGGACCCUCUGGGACUGGAGUUACAGAUGGUUGGGAGCUGCUAUGUGGAUGUUGGGAAUUGUAGUCCAGUCCUGGAAGGGCAGCCAGUGCUCUUGAACACUGAGCUAGCUGUCUUCCAGCCCUGCAGACAUCUUUUUAAUUGGAUUAGGAAUCCAAUGCAUUCUUCAAGGUGUGGUAUCCUUAUUAUUCAUGCUAUGUGAUAGAAAUUGAAGCAACAUUAUUGUAUGUAGUAGAAUACCAGAUGGAAAUCUGUAUGUACUGUUUUACUGACUUAAAAUAAAAUUUAGUGACUCAAAAUUAUAUU